AGAGUUUGAUCAUGGCUCAGGAUAAACGCUGGCGGCGUGCCUAAAACAUGCAAGUCGAACGGGCACCUUCGGGUGUCAGUGGCGGACGGCUGAGUAACACGUGGGUGACCUGCCCUCGAGCGGGGGAUAACUGCCCGAAAGGGUGGCUAAUACCGCAAAUGUCUGGUCUUCGGUGAGCAGACUGAACCGUUAGGGUUCGAGGAGGGGCCCGCGGCCGAUUAGCUUGCUGGUGGGGUAACGGCCUACCAGGGCUGCGAUCGGUAGCUGGUCUGAGAGGAUGAUCAGCCAGACUGGGACUGCGAGACGGCCCAGACUCCUACGGGAGGCAGCAGUUAGGAAUUUUGGGCAAUGGGGGCAACCCUGACCCAGCAACGCCGCGUGGGUGAUGAAGGCCUUCGGGUCGUAAAGCCCUUUUCCCAGGGACGAUGGUGACGGUACCUGGGGAAUCAGCCCCGGCUAACUACGUGCCAGCAGCCGCGGUAAUACGUAGGGGGCAAGCGUUGUCCGGAUUUAUUGGGCGUAAAGCGCUCGCAGGCGGCUCGAUGCGUCGUGCGUGAAACACCCCGGCUCAACUGGGGAGGGUCGUGCGAUACGGUCGGGCUUGAGGCCAGUAGGGGGAUGCGGAAUUCCAGGUGUAGUGGUGGAAUGCGUAGAGAUCCGGAGGAACACCGCGGCGAAGGCGGCAUCCUGGACUGGUACUGACGCUCAUGAGCGAAAGCGUGGGGAGCGAUCCGGAUUAGAUACCCUAGUAGUCC
rnacentral:rRNA from 1 species